rnacentral:sRNA from 1 species
ACUUGUUAACUAGCACGGGCGUUGAGGUAACUCUACGCCCGUUUGUGCGUGUUAGGGGUAAACAAUACAAU